AUGGAGUUGCUGGCCAAAAUAAUUUCAAACAAAAUGAAAGCUGACAAGGGAGGAGAGGACGUGCGUCAUGUUGUUCUGCUUCUUGAUGAGGGAGGUGAGGAGGGGCCUGAAGAGCGGGGACUCGAGGAGCAUACCCAGUACGCCUUGGCGGCGAACGGAAUCCCCUUCCUCCUCCUUUGCGGACUGGCGCACGGCCGAGGCGGCGACCGGCGCGUAGGCCCACGCACACCCGAGGUGGCGCAAGCGCAGCGCGAGACACUGCUGCUUUCCCCGUGCCUCCUCCGGCGUCGGGGGCAACGAGGAGGAGGUGUCGCCGCAGCGCGCAAGCAGGAGACGCAGCGGGAGGAAGAAGAAACAACUUUGGGGGUGAAAGAGGGGAGAUUUGGGAGGCAGGCAAGGGGGCCAGGGGAGCUGCGCGAGGCAGGAGGGAGCGGUGGCGUAGGCAUCCCCGGCGGCGGAGGAGGACGUGCGGGAGAGCAGGGGAGCAGCACGGUGAAGCUGAGCAGGGGAGCUCCGGCGUCGAUGCGCCCGUGUCGGAGCGGCGGGGUGUGUCGAUUGGAGAAGACGAGGAGUGCGGGUUGUGUCGGGAGUUUGGGGAGGGGUUUUCUGCAAAAACGCCAUGGAGACAACUUUUCCCGGACGGAGGGAGUACUAAUAUACUUCCUCCCUCUGGGUUUAUUUGCCCCCCUUGUUUGGUGCAAGUUUGACCAUUUCUUUGACUAA
rnacentral:rRNA from 1 species